rnacentral:snRNA from 1 species
UAGUGUUACAGCUCUUUUAGAACUUGUCUGGCAGGUUUUCUAGUGCUCACCAAAAGACCCCU